rnacentral:rRNA from 1 species
UUAGUGGCGAACGGGUGAGUAACACGUGGGCAAUCUGCCCUGCACUCUGGGACAAGCCCUGGAAACGGGGUCUAAUACCGGAUAUCACUCUUGCAGGCAUCUGUGAGGGUCGAAAGCUCCGGCGGUGCAGGAUGAGCCCGCGGCCUAUCAGCUUGUUGGUGAGGUAAUGGCUCACCAAGGCGACGACGGGUAGCCGGCCUGAGAGGGCGACCGGCCACACUGGGACUGAGACACGGCCCAGACUCCUACGGGAGGCAGCAGUGGGGAAUAUUGCGCAAUGGGCGAAAGCCUGAUGCAGCGACGCCGCGUGAGGGAUGACGGCCUUCGGGUUGUAAACCUCUUUCAGCAGGGAAGAA